AGAAUGAACGCUAGCGAUAUGCUUAACACAUGCAAGUUGAACGUUGUUUUCGAAUCAGAAUGAGAACAAAGUAGCGAACGGGUGCGUAACACGUGGGAAUCUGCCGAACAGUUUGGGCCAAAUCCCGAAUGAAUAAAAGCUAAAAAGCGCUGUUUGAUGAGCCCACGUAGUAUUAGGUAGUUGGUUAGGUAAAAGCUGACCAAGCCUACGAUGCUUAGCUGGUCUUUUCGGAUGAUCAGCCACACUGGGACUGAGACACGGCCCAGACUCCUACGGGAGGCAGCAGUGGGGAAUCUUGGACAAUGGGCGAAAGCCUGAUCCGGCAAUAUGGCGUGAGUGAAGAAGGGCAACGCAGCUUGUAAAGCUCUUUCAUCGAGUGUGCGAUUGUGACAAGACUCGAAUAAGAAGCCCCGGCUAACUCCGCGCCAGCAGCCGC
rnacentral:rRNA from 1 species